UCUCAACUUCCCUUGGUUUCCAAAGUAGGUAAAAUUUCAGCCUUCUGUCUCCUACCUGGCUCUAAGCCAAACCUGCACCCAGCUUGACUGUAGAGCAAUGCAACGGAUAGCGCAGCUAUUCCCCGGCCACCAAGGCAAUUUCAACGUUAGGGGAUGCCAUCUUUGAACACAAAGGAUAAUUCUCAAGCUGAUUUAGGGAGUCCCACUAAAUCACCUUGUAGGGGUUGACACGCCUGAAGUUCACAUAGUAGAAAAUGGAACUCGUGCUAUUUGCCACACCUCGAAGGGAGAGUUUUGCUACGGCAUUCCGGGUAACCCACUGGGGAACGAACGGGUGUGGGACGUCCCACGCAGGCGUGACUUCCAGGAUCGGUUCCAGAUCGACCUCUGCCCUGUGCCGCCAAGCUGAAGUCGGAGCUCCAGCACCACCUCCAUCACCCUGCUGGAAUUGAGGAUGGGGAAUUAAUCCAGGCAGAUGAGCACUGGGCUAAGUAGGGGAGCUUUAAAUGCAAAUGGUGCAUGACAGAGAGCAGAUUACAAUUUCUAAGGACUGGGGGGUCUCAGCCUAAAUGAGCUCUGGCUUUGCGGGGUUUCAGCGCACUUCACUGCCAACGGAGUUAAGCUGCUCCGAUCUGAUUGGAAACAUCCGGCUCCUACGCCUGCCAACGGACAAUACCCCUUCCUCUGGGACCACUCGUUUCCUGAGCACAUUUUGGAGAAGAUGCCUAAACUUCACUGCAUGAGAUUAGACUAGAUCAACUGGAAAAUAUCCCCAGCUUCUGGGCCAGGGAGGCUAAUCUUCUCGAUGGUAAAAUGAAAAAAAGACUUGAUCACUAACGGAAUUAUUAUAUCAACGGAGGCAGAAAUAAAGAGCUAAGUGCUGCACUGGACCAGAAUUAACACGGUUUUCCCAUCCAGGCCACGCUGCUUCUCCUCUGCCCUGAACUACUGGAAUAGAAAUCUCCAGAGAGCUCCACGAUGGUUUGGCAUACUUAGAAUUGAUAAGACGCCCAGACAACUUCGGAAACCAACGACGUGAUGGUCAGGCAAAUCGCAACUCCAUCACGACCCUCUCCAGACAACUUUUCAAGUCCCUCUUGGCAGGUGACAUACCUGGAUCUUGUCAGCAAAUUUCUCCCACAUAGAA